CAACCGCCAUAGGCUGGCCAGGCACAGGCUGGGCUGUGCAAGUACCCCUUUGGAAGGCUCACUCCCAAGCAUGGCUAGGAGC
rnacentral:pre_miRNA from 1 species